rnacentral:rRNA from 1 species
AUGUCUUCCUCAAGCUCCCGCGCCACCUCGCGGAUGCAGAGUCGGGCGCGUGUGGACAUGCCUGUCUUCGUCUGUCCGCGGUGCCGGGCGGUCGUUGAUCGGAGGGUUUCUCAGACACCGAGGAACCAGAAUCGUCCGUUCUACGUGUGCAGCGAGAAUGGGGUGACAUGCUUUUUUCUUUGGGUCGAUGCUCUGGCCAAGACUCUGAUGAAUGAACUGCAAGAAGAGCAUGAAGAAUGGUUGCGCAUGCUGCCACGAACGGCAGUGGCCGCACCACGAGCUCCGGAAGAAGAGAUGGAGGGCGAAGCA